ensembl:lncRNA
UGGAGAUCUCUGAUCACCUGCUUUUAAAUGUACAUCAGCUCUUACAUGCAAGUUGGGUAUAGGGUGGAGGGUGUUUCCUGGGGUCUGCACUGAAGCAAUGGCACGAAGUGUACGGAGGUUUGCAGGAGCGCAGCAGAAAGGACAGCUGGGGAUGGAGAAGGAUUCCAAAGGCUCAUACAGUCCCAUAAGGAAGCAGGCUGGGUGCUAAGCCCCCUCCCAGGGGGCUGGUGGGCUGCUCUUUGCUGUCCAUCACAUCACACUCUUUUUAGUACCAUUGCUUUCCUGCCACCCUGAGAGCUCUGACCUCCUCUGAUUGAUUGACCUGGCGAGCAGCUCCCUGCUCACAGCAGGGUAUAAAAAAG